GUUAGGGUUAGUGUUAGGGUUAUGGUUAGGGAUAGGGUUAGCUUUAGGGUAGUGUUAGGGUUAGGGUUAGGGUUAGGUUGAGGUUCGGGUAAGAGAUCGGGUAGGGUUAGGCUUAGUGUUAGGAGUCUGGUUAGGGUUAGGGUUUGAGUUUGAUUGGGUUUAGGGUUAGGGUAAGGGUUCGUGUUAGGGUUAGGGUUAGGUUUAGGUUUAUUGAAAGGGUUAGAGUUAAGGUUGUGGUUAGUCUUAUAUUUAGCUUUAGGGUCAGAGUUAGGUCUGUGUUUGGAUUAGGUUUAGCGUUAGGCUUAGGGUAAGAUUCGGGUAUGGGUUACGGUUAGUGAUAGGGUUAGGGUUAUUGAAAGGGUUAGGGUUAGGCUUAGGGUUAGGGUUAGGGUUACGGAUGGUGUAGGGUUAGGCAUAGGGUUAGGGUAGGGUUAGGGUUAGGGUUAGGGUUAGGCUUAGGCUUAGGGUUAGGGUUAGGGUUAGGGUAAGUUUCAUUGAAAGGGUUAGGGUUAGGUUAGGGUUGGGGUUAGGUUAGGGUUAGGGUUAGGGUUAGGGUUAGGGUUAGGGUUAGGGUUAGGGUUAGGGUUAGGGUUAGGGUUAGGGUUAGGGUUAGGGUUAGGGUUAGGGUUAGGGCUAGGGUUAGGGUUAGGUUUAGGGUAGGAUUAGGGUUAGGUUUAGCUUUUGGGUUAGGGUUAGGGUUAGGUUUAGGUUUUAGUUUCGGUUUAAGGUUACGGUUUGACUAAGGCUACGGCUUAGGCUUGGGGUUCGGAUUAAGGUUAGGGUAAGGGCUGGGGUUAGGCCUUGGCUUAUGGUUCGGUAUAGGGUUGGGUUUAGCGUUAGGGUUAGUAUUAGGGGUAUAUUGUUUGGUUAGGGUUAGGGUUAGGUUCAGGGUUUGGUAAGGUUUUGGGUUUGGUUAGGUUUUGGGUUAGUGUUAGGGUUAGGUUUAGGGUUCUAUUAGCGUUUGUGUUAGGGUUAUUUUAAGAUUAGGAUUAGGGAUAGCAUAGGGUAGGUUUAGGGAUAGUCAUAGGUUUCUUGUUAGGGUGAGAUUCAUUGUGAUCGUUAGCGUAAGGGUUAGGAUUACAGUUAGGGUGAGGGUGAGGGUGAGGGUUAGGGUUAGGUUAGGUUUAGGUUCGGGUAAGAGUUCGGGUAGGGUUAGGCUUAGUGUUAGGAUUAAGGUUAGGGUUAGGGUUUGAGUUUGGAUUGGGGUUAGGGUUAGGGUAAGGGAUAGAGUUUGAGUUAAAUUUAGGAUUAGGGUUCGGAUUACAGUUAGGGUUAGGGCAUGGGUUAGGUUUAGGGUUAAUGUUAGGGUUAGGUUUAGGUUCGGGUAAGAGUUUAGGUUCGGGUUAGGCUUAGUGUUUGGAUUAUGGUUAGGGUUAGGGUUAGAGUUAGGAUUAGGGUUAGGGUUGGGGUCAGGGUUAGGUUCAGGGUUUUGUUACAGUUAGGGGUAGGGUUAGGGUUAGGGUUUGGUCUAAGGUUUGGGGUUUGUUAGGGUUUCGGUUAGGGUAAGGGUUAGAUUUGGGGUUAGGGUUAGGAUAAGGGUUAGGUUUAGUGUUUGGGUUGGGGCAGGGUUAGGCUAUAGUUAAGGGUAGGAUUAGGGUUAUGGUAUGGGUUAGGGCUGUAGUAUGGGUUAGGGUUAGGGCUAGUGUUAGGUUUAGGGUUAGGAUUAGAUUUAUGUUUAGGCAUAGGCUUCAGGCUAGGUUUAGGCUUAGGGUCCAUGUUGUGGUUAAGGUUCGUGUUAGGAAUAGUAUAGGAGUUAUGUUUUGUAUUAGGGUUAGGGUUAGGGUAAGGGUUAGGGCAGGGUUUAGGGUUUGGUUUAGGUUUUGUGUUUGGGAUCUGGUAGGGGUAGGGGUAGGUUUAGGGUUACGUUUAGCGUUUGGGUUAGGGUUAGGGUUUGUUUUCGGUUUUAAUUUAGGUGUAGGGUUAUGGUUUGACUUAGGCUUGGGUUUCAGAUUAAGUUUAGGGUAAGUGCUGGGGUUAGGCCUAGGGUUACGGUUAGUUAUAGGGUUAGGUUUAGGGUUAGGGUUAGUGUUAGGGGUAUAUUGUUUGGUUUCGGUUAUUGUUAGGUUCAGGGUUUGGUUAGGUUUUGGGUUACGGUAAGGGUUAAGGUUACUUCUAGGUAUAGGUCUAGGGUUAUAUUUACCAUUUGGGUUAGGUUUGUCUUAAAGUUAGGGUUAGGGUUAGCAAAGGGUUAGGUUUAGGGAUUGUCAUAGGUUUAUUGUUAGGGUGAGGUUCAUUGUGCGGUUUAGGGUUAGGGUUAGGGUUUGGGUAAAGUUUAGGGUUAGGGUUCGGUUAGGGUAGGGUUCUGGUUAGGGUGAGGGUUAGGGUUUGGGAUAGAAAUAGGGAUAGGUUUUCGGUUUCAUUAGGGUUAAGAUUAAGGUUAGGCUUAGGUUUAGGGUUCGAUAUAGGUUUAAGGUUAUCGUUAUGGCUUGGGUUAGGUUUACGGUUUGGGUUAAUUUUAGAUUUAGUGUUAUGGCUCGGGUUAAUUUAGGGUUAGGUUUAGGUUUUCUUUUAGGGUUAGGGGUACGGUCAGGGUUUGGAUUAGGGCUAAAGUAAGGGUUAGGUUUAUGGUAACGGUUAAGUUAUGGUUAGGGUUAGUGUUAGGGUUAAAUUAGGGUUAGGGUUAGAUUUUGUGUUAGGGUUAGGUUUACGGUUUGAGUUAAGAUUAGGGUUAAACAAAGGGUUAGGUUUAGGGUAACGGUUAAGUUUAGGUUAGUGUUAGGUUUUUUGGUAGUUUUAGGGUUACGAUUAGGCUUCAGCUUAGGUUUAGGGUAAUGUUUAAGGUUAGUCUUAGUUUUAGUGUUAGGGUUAGAAUUAGGGUUACAUAUAAUGUUAAGAUUAGGUUUAAGUUAAGGGUUAGGUUUAGUUUUAGGGUUAGAGUUAGAGUUAAGUUAGGGUUAGGGUUAGGUUUGGGUUUUGGGUUUGGUUUUGGGUUAGGGUUCGGAUUAGGGUUUGGGUUAGGGUUAACUGUAGGAUUAGGUUUAGGGUUUGUUUUAUAUUUAAUGUGUCGGUUAGGUUAAGGGUUAAGUUAGUGUUUGGUUUGGGGUUAGGUUUAGAUUUAGGUUUUGUGUUGAGUUAGGGUUAGGGUUAGAGUUAGGGUUAGUGUUUGCGUUAGGAUUAAGGUUAGGGUUUUGUUUAGGGUUAGGGUUAAGAUCAGGUUUUGGGUUAGUUUUAGGAUUAAGUUUAGGUUUAGGGUUUGGGUUAUGUUUGGGGUUAGUGUUAUGGUUAGGACUAUGGUUAUUGCAAGGGUUAAGAUAGGGUUUGUUUUAAGGUUUUUGUUUCGGUUAUUGUUGAGUUAUGCUUAGGGUUAGGGUUAGUGUUAUGUUAGGGAUUAGGGUUAUGGGCCUAUUUUGGGUUAUGUAGAACAGAAUAAAAUUGAUCUAGGAGGUCUAGUCCAACUAGAUUAUAGAAAAUGGGGAAAUUGUAGAGUGUGAACUGGAGCCUGCAGUUACAGUGAGGAGGGCCUUUCAGCUAGAAACGGGAAAGUAGCUUCACAAAGUAGAAAUAAGAGGAAAUAGAGUUUGUUUCGGGAGAGGGUGUUAGGAAAAAAAAAGAUUCCAAGCACUUUCAGACACUAGGUGUGGAAUAACAAGGAGAAUGAAGUCCAUAAAGACAACGUCUGGAGAGCAGCUGGAAAACAUUUGGCAGAGAGGUGAUUAGAUGCCUACAGGGCAAGCUGAAACAGAUUCAGGAGAUGCCCCCACUUUGGGUUCAGAAGUUUGCAGCGAGGAAGACUAUGAGCCUUUGCGAGGAAGAGGCGAGGCGGUGUGAGGCCAGGUGAGCCGAGGCCAGGCAAGACAAGGCCAGGAAAUGCCAGGCCAUGUAAUGCAAGGCAAAGCAAAGAAAGGCAAGGUGAGGAAAGGCCAGGCCAGGCCAGACUGGGCAAGGCAAGGCAAGGCCAGGCAGGAGGAGGUAAGGUCAGGCAAGGAAAUGCCAGGCGAAGCCGGGUGAGGCGAGGCAACUCCCAGCCAGGUCACACCAGGUAAAGCCUAGCAAGGCACGGCCAGGCAAGGUCAACCAGGCCAGG
ensembl:lncRNA